rnacentral:rRNA from 1 species
GAACGGGUGAGUAACGCGUGAGGAACCUGCCUCAAAGAGGGGGACAACAGUUGGAAACGACUGCUAAUACCGCAUAAGCCCACGGCUCGGCAUCGAGCAGAGGGAAAAAGAACAAUCCGCUUUGAGAUGGCCUCGCGUCCGAUUAGCUAGUUGGUGAGGUAACGGCCCACCAAGGCGACGAUCGGUAGCCGGACUGAGAGGUUGAACGGCCACAUUGGGACUGAGACACGGCCCAG